rnacentral:tRNA from 1 species
CAUUAGAUAGCUAAAAGCUAGCACUGGUCUCUUAAACCAUUUUAUAAUAGAUUAGCGACUAUUUCUAAUG